rnacentral:rRNA from 1 species
UUGAACGCUGGCGGCAGGCCUAACACAUGCAAGUCGAGCGGAUGAAGGGAGCUUGCUCCUGGAUUCAGCGGCGGACGGGUGAGUAAUGCCUAGGAAUCUGCCUGGUAGUGGGGGAUAACGUCCGGAAACGGGCGCUAAUACCGCAUACGUCCUGAGGGAGAAAGUGGGGGAUCUUCGGACCUCACGCUAUCAGAUGAGCCUAGGUCGGAUUAGCCAGUUGGUGGGGUAAAGGCCUACCAAGGCGACGAUCCGUAACUGGUCUGAGAGGAUGAUCAGUCACACUGGAACUGAGACACGGUCCAGACUCCUACGGGAGGCAGCAGUGGGGAAUAUUGGACAAUGGGCGAAAGCCUGAUCCAGCCAUGCCGCGUGUGUGGAGAAGGUCUUCGGAUUGUAAAGCACUUUAAGUUGGGAGGAAGGGCAGUAAGUUAAUACCUUGCUGUUUUGACGUUACCAACAGGAUAAGCACCGGCUAACUUCGUG